ensembl:lncRNA MIR7515HG MIR7515 host gene
AGCCAGGUUUCCAGAAGUUCCCCAGUCAUUGAGCAUUUCUGAGGCUCUUGAUGCAUAUGCCAAGUAGUUAUGGAGAAAGACACAGCAGCUUACCUCUGCAGGCAUCAUUGUGUGAAAGGAAGACCCAGGCUCUCUCACCACCCUUGAACAGAAGCCUUUUGCUAAGGUGAUAGCUACAUGUCCAAGCCUAUUGCGUGGCAUGCAUUUUGCCUUCUGCAGCCCACUAAAGGAAAUUGAAGUAUACAGAAUGCUUAUUUGGUCUACUCAGUAUCAUCCUAAAUGUAUGUACCAAUGCUUAGGAGUUUGCAGUUCACCCGCAAACCUCAGCGAUCCAAGCUCCCCUGGAUGACCAUCACUCACCAAGAAAAGAGCAAUAACAGGACCUGUUUUGCUAAUCCAGGACUGUUCUCCAGCACUAACUCUAAAUAAUCCCUUCUGCUAGAGUCCACUUUCUGGAACCUGUUGCCUCCGUUUUCAACGUUUCCCAAACUUGGUCCGUUGUGUGAGCUGGCUGAUAAAAGUUCCAGGGAGAAGACAUCUUACUCUUAUUGGAUCAUGCACAGUGCCUGAAGCAUUCUGUUGCAUGUAGAAGUCAGUAAAUUGCAGAUGUAAGAUUCAAAACCAGACUUCACAUCUACCGACUUCAGUGACCCUGAAAUUUGUUCACAGAGAGCAUUUAACAUAACUGUCUUCAUCAUCUCCUUCUCUACAUUAAAAAUUAUGGAAUAUACAGGGAGGUGUGAUGUACCCAUUAUCACAAGCAGAUGGAAUCCCUAUAGAGUCGGAUCUCAUCUACAUAUCACCUAUUAUAUGUAGUUAUUGAUGGAUAAAUACUUCAACAACUAAAGGCAGAAAGAGAGCAGUUCACAAAGACGUUAUUGGUGAUUCAAUCUUGAGUCAUGAAAAGUCAACCUUGAGCCACAAAAAGUCAACCUUGAGCCAAGCAGAUUGGAGAGUCAUACAUGCCAUUCCUGGGACCAUCAAAAAUGGCAGAGGUCACACAAAAAGGCAAAACUUUUAAGAGGUGUUUUAAACGUCGUAUGGGCCAAAGAGAAGCUGGAUUUCCUAUUGGAGUCACCUGUAACACACGUGUGACGAAAUUGGCCUGUGAGGACAAGGCAGUGAGCAGAGAGGACAGCAGUCCUUAUGAGAUCAAGCUCUAAGGUAUCCUAGACACAUUUGGAGAAUUCACCUGAGCUACAGGAUGUGAAAAGUUGCUAAAACUGCUGUGAGAUUCUGGCUAAGAAAGUUUCAUGAGAAGUUUUACAGAAAAAUGUGAACGGAAGACAGAACUAGAUAUAAAUUUGAAUGUUUUGAGAAGAAUGCGAAGAAGAAAGGAAGAGUGAGCCUCUCUUUCCCAUCGUUACCCUCCAUUGUCCUCUUGACACCCUGCUUUCACAGAGAAAGAGUUUGAGACCCUCUCCCAGGAGCCAAGGAGAGGGGAACAGCUGGCUUCACAUCAUCUUUCUAUUCAACAAGAUACAAAAAGCUGAAGCCAGGAUGAUAGAAAAGCAACAAAGAAGACACGGUCCUUACUCAUUUCCCUUCCCACUUCAGAGCAAAUAUGGUGCCUGGUGUUCGAAGGGAGAACUUGUGGGCAGAGCAGGAAGCGUGAGUAUGGUUGAAGGAUCAAAUAUUUGGUUCAGGCAUCAGGGAGCCAGCAAGACUAUGAUGCUGGGAAACACAAGUGAUGUACUGUUGGAUUUAAUCUACUUGGAAAAAACCUAGGAAAACCAAAAUGUCAUCAACUAACACCUGAAAUGCCUCAGCACCAUCUGUCUCCAACAUUAAACAAAACCCACGAGAUUCCAGGAGAAAGAAAAUAGGAAAUUUAAUGAUGAACUUAACCUGAGUAACUUGAUAAAUGUUACCUUUGUGGCUAGCCAUUCACCAGCAAGUCCCUAAAAUGACCUGAAACCUGAAGAGUGUUUCACCCAUGAAAGGGUUUGCUCUCUCUGGGCAUGGCUACCCAGCACAUAUGUUAGUCAACUUUCUUUCCCUUGCAGGGCCCCUUGGAAAACUAGUUUGAAUCAUUCAUUAACUCAGCUCCACUCCUUCCCUUUCCCAUGGACCAUAGUUUCUUUGAGCAAUUAAAACUUAUAAGACACCAAAA